GUCACGACAAGGCCAGCCUGCUGCUCAACCAGGGCGCCAAGCUCUCCGAGGUGCAGGACAUCCUCGGCCAUGCCUCACCCGAGACGACGAAGAAGAUCUACGCCCACUACGAGACCUCCCACCUGCGGGACGCCUUCGACCGCUUCAGCGUCUCGGCCGAGGCCCGCAUCCGGCGCCGGCGGGCGCCCGAUGGCUGAGCCGUUGCUCUCCCGUCAAGCAAGCGAUCAAGCUAUUGUUGUACCUCUGUCAACCCCUCUCUGGUAUCGCCCGCCGACAGCUGGUCUGUGCUUGACAAUUCG
rnacentral:misc_RNA from 1 species